AAAAACUUGUUUAUUUAUUGAAAAUAAAACGUGAUUACUAAAAGAGAGUAUAAUAACUCAAAUAAUAGCAGUACAAUCGAUUAUUGAUACUAGAUAAUCGAUUAUUAGACGACAGAAACCGAUUUUUCUGAUGAAGACUCGAUUAUUGCGCGUCAUGCUUUAUAAUUCCCCCUACCUUUAGGGCGAUACCUGCAAAAAUUCGUUAGACGUCUCCGACGCUCAAGUUAGAGAUCAUG
rnacentral:lncRNA from 1 species